AUGAACGCUGGCGGCGUGCCUAAUACAUGCAAGUCGAGCGAACGGACGAGAAGCUUGCUUCUCUGAUGUUAGCGGCGGACGGGUGAGUAACACUUGGAUAACCUACCUAUAAGACUGGGAUAACUUCGGGAAACCGGAGCUAAUACCGGAUAAUAUUUUGAACCGCAUGGUUCAAAAGUGAAAGACGGUCUUGCUGUCACUUAUAGAUGGAUCCGCGCUGCAUUAGCUAGUUGGUAAGGUAACGGCUUACCAAGGCAACGAUGCAUAGCCGACCUGAGAGGGUGAUCGGCCACACUGGAACUGAGACACGGUCCAGACUCCUACGGGAGGCAGCAGUAGGGAAUCUUCCGCAAUGGGCGAAAGCCUGACGGAGCGACGCCGCGUGAGUGAUGAAGGUCUUCGGAUCGUAAAACUCUGUUAUUAGGGAAGAACAUAUGUGUAAGUAACUGUGCACAUCUUGACGGUACCUAAUCAGAAAGCCACGGCUAACUACGUG
rnacentral:rRNA from 1 species